CCCAGCCGUUAGCAGGAAGGCGGCACAACAACGUCAGCGGCGCACCUACAGAGUGAGAAGAGAUAUUUUCGCUGAGUACGACGAUGCUGAGUUACUGAAAAGAUUCAGAUUGGACCGUGCUGGUAUUGUUGCAGUGACUGAUAUAGUGAGAGACAAGCUGCAAAGUAAAACUGAAAGAAAUAGAGCCUUGACCCCUGAGAUGGUGGCCAUCACAUUACGAUAUUUAGCCACAGGAAAAAUGCAACAGUGCAGUUGUGAUGAUUUUGGAACAACGCAGCCCACUAUCAGCCGUGCAAUAUCACAGACAUUGAUGCACUGGCUGACCCAGAAGUAAUCUGCCAGUUCGUGGCUUUCCCUCACACCCAGCGUGAAGUGCAGCAAAAACAGGCAGAGUUCAUGCAAGUAACUCAGUUUCCCGGUGUUGUGGGAGUGAUUGAUGGCACUCAUAUAAGAAUUGUGUCUCCUCAUGUCGAUGAACAUGUAUAUGUGAACAGGAAACGCUAUCACAGCAUAAAUGUGCAAGUAGUAUUUGAUGCUCACUAUAAGAUUCUUGACAUUGUGGCAAGGUGGCCUGGCUCAGUCAACGAUGCAAGAAUACUAGAUAAGUCAGCACUCAAACUGAUGUUUGAGGAACAACAUGUACCUGCAGGAUGCUACCUUCCCGGGGACAGUGGCUAUCCCUGUAAGCAGUGGCUCCUCACUCCUUACCUUCGCCCUCAAACUGUUGCACAAGCUAAUUAUAACAGUUCCAGUACCUUACGAUGCAGCCGAGGGGACUGACGCCACCACCACCACUGCCACCACCGCCACAACAAGGGUUAUUCGAGUGGGGAACAUGCUUCAGGUGUUGCCCCAAGAUGCCUCAGCCCCGCAGCCCCACUUCCCCAUGAUAGUGCAGGCAGGGAAUGUCAUACAGGUUGUUCCAGCUGACAACACGCAGGUAUUAAGGGCAGAAGUUGUUGGAGUUGGUCGGGUCAUGCAAGUGGUCGGAGUCCCAGGCUUUCCCCCGACCCCAGCCCCAGACCCCUGCCCCAGCCACCCCUCUCCCUGUGACCCCUGCCCAGUCAUCCCUCACCCCCUCCUGCCCCCCUGCGGUGCUGCCAGCGGGGGUGAUGGGAGGUGGAGGUGGGCCACACACACCUGGGUUAGCUGUGGCUUGGCUUAUCUCCCUCCUCAGCAGCAAAUCCCGAGGAUCAACGAGGACAUGGUGGACCCAGAGAUUGCAGCAGCAGCGAGAGAGAGAGAGAGGAGCAAGAGAGGAGGGAGAGGAAGGAGAGGAGGAGGAGAGAGAGGGAGGCCAGGAGGGAGGCACGUCAGAGAGAGAGGGAGAGGAAGAGGUUGAUUCUGUUACAACAACAACUGCAACAACAACAACAGUUAGUCAGUGAGGAGGGGGAGGGGCCGUCCUCUGAUGCUGAGGAUGAGGUAUUGUUCAGGGAGGCCAUGUCGGAGGUGCCGGUGGUGGGGUCGCCAGUUCCGGAGUACGAGGUGGAGGAGGAAAAGGAAGAGGAGGACGAGGAGGAGGCACGGAUAAGGAAGAAGAAAAGAUUAUUACCUGUAGCCCUCCCUCCAGCUGAUAAGGGGAUAUUAAGGAGCCCUUCCUACAGGUUCGUUCGAUGCAAGGAGUUGGCACAGGAGGCGUCCGAGGCUGUGUAGAGCGGCCGUCUGAACCUGGUGCCACAGCUUACUAUGUUCAACAGAUGCCUGAAGGAAGUGUGUGUAAGGGAGGAUAAAGAGAUCAUGCUGGCCUAUGCAGACGAUGUCGCUGUCGGGACAGGAAGCCAACAAGAUCUUCAAGAGGCCAUGACAAGAUGGAAUGAUGUUUUAAAUAGGGAAGGAAUGAGAAUGAACAAACAAAAAACAGAAAUAAUGAAAGUUGGCAGAAUAAAGGAGGAAUGUAAUAUUUACAUAGAAAACGUUAAACUGAAGCAGACCAACAAAUUUUGUUAUCUGGGAGUACUUUUCGAUGAGGAAAACAGACAGAAUAUAGAAAUUUUAAAUAGAAUACAGAAGUACAAUGCAAAUGUCAGUGCAUUGUAUCCCAUACUUAAAGAUAAGAAUAUUCCAACAAAAGUUAAAACCAUAAUAUUUACAACAAUACUAAGACCAGUACUUCUAUAUGUUUCAGAAACUUGGACAGUGACAACAAGAACAUCUUCACAAAUACAAGCAGCAGAAAUGAGAGUUCUGAGAAUGAUCCGAGGUGUGACCAGACUUGAUAGAAUUAGAAAUGAAGAAACCAGAGAGAGAUUAGGGAUAACAUCUGUACUGAAGAUAAUUGAAAAGAACAAAUUGAGAUGGUAUGGACAUGUCCGAAGAAUGGAAGAUACAAGAUACGCAAGGAAGUUUCUGGAAUGGGUUCCUCUAGGCAGGAGGCCGGUGGGACGACCUAGGAAGCGAUGGAUGCAGGGAGUUGAAGAAGCUACUGAACGAAGAGGAAGAAAUCUACAAGAAAUAACCAGAGAUGAGGAUUUCAUGGAUAGAGACCUUUGGAGAAGAUUUGUAGAGGCCGGACACUGACAGGCAUUGCCUACCUUGCGUCUGGUGAGAAAGUAACUGUAGGAAGAAUGCAGGAAAUGGAGGAGGAGGAGGAGGAGGAGGAGAAAAUGAGUAGAAAACAAGAAAAUUAGAAUAAGCAGAUGGAAUAAAGAGGAAGAAGAAGAAGAAAAGGAGGAAGAAGAAGAGAAGGAGGAAGAGGAGGAAGAAAAGGAGGAGGAGGAGGAAGAAGAAGAAAAAUAAUCACAUUAAGCUGGAGAGGAAAGCAAGAAUAAGCAGGAAGGAGGAGGAGGAGGAGGAGGAGGAGGAGGAGCAGCAGGAGGAGGAAGAGGAGGAGGAGGAGGAAGGCUAAGCAGGAGAUACCCUCCCUUGCUCUAGUUCAGCAGGAGGCAUGGCCGGAGGAGGAGGAGGAGGAGGAGGAACAGCUUUUUUGGGAGUUCUUAAAGAUCGCGUACCUUGAGGCUGCUCCUCCUCCUCCUCCUCCUCCUCCUCCUCCUCCUCCUCCUCCUCCUCCUCCUCCUCCUCCUCCUCCUCCUCCUCCUCCUCCUCCUCCUCCUCCUCCUCCUCCUCCUCCUCCUCCUCCUCCUCCUCCUCCUCUCUCUCUCUCUCUCUCUCUCUCUCUCUCUCUCUCUCUCUCUCUCUCUCUCUCUCUCUCUCUCUCUCUCUCUCUCUCUCUCUCUCUCUCUCUCUCUCUCUCUACAGCCUACAGACUCACUAUUUGCUUAACCACACCUCUUGCCUGAAACAAAUGAAAAACUUUUAUCCUUCUCCAAUCACAUUUCAAUUUUGUACUUAGUCACAAUCACACAGUAUAUGUUGUUAAUUUCAACUUUACAACAAGGUGACAACAUUUCAUCUAUUUAUACAUACUUUUUAUUAUUAAAGCUUAUCUUAUAAUUAUUUCUGAAGAGAUUGACUAAUUUUUGUAGUAUUUAUGACUUAGAACUAUGAUAAAGCUAUGAAUUGAUAUAAUUCCUGAUUUGUUUUAUCUUUUCAUUAUACUUCCUUUGUUAAUUGAGCAUUUUAUAUUACUUAGCUUAAAAAUGCAAGAACGGUUCAGAAGUAUCCAACCUUGGGCUAAGGGCCAAAAUUAUGGUAUCAUUCAAAAUGUCCUUCAAAGAAAGCCCUCUGUAAUCCAACACACUUAGCCCAUUAAUCCUUCCAUUUCUCAUCAAUUUGUUCAACAUACAUAUUUUUCCCUUAUAGGGUUGAACAAUUUUCAUGGGUUCAGAGCAAAAGGCUUCCUCAUUCCUCCCCAAGGUACUCUCGGAUGGUAAGCAGGUUUGACUCUGGAGCAAACCUGACCAAGGGCUACUGCCCAAGGCUACAGAGGUUCCUCUCCCUGAGGCUGAAUGCACCAUGUGAGAUGGUUCUGUUAUGUGGAUGAAUGUCAUGGUGGAUAGCAGUGCCACCACAUUCCUACAAUCAUCCAUCACUCCACUGCUCAAACACUUCUGCAACCAAUGAUAGGUAUGCUGCCACAUUCUGCAUGGUCUCCUUGGCUCUCAGAUAAGGAUACUGUCAACAGGUUUGGGAUUGCCAAAAAAUCAUAAGGAGCUAUGUCUGAAAAGUUCAGAGAGAGAGAGAGAGAGAGAGAAAGAAUGAGCAAGAGAAAGAGUAGGAUGAAGCAAAGGAAGAGUCAAGAGGGAGGAAGAGAGAGUAGGACAAGAAAAAACAGAACAAAUAAAUCCCCUACACGUCUUGUCUCCAUUCACACAAGCCAUGAAAAGCUUGUCCAUCCCUGAGUGCUCAGAAGCAGUGUUCCACUGAUGAUGUGGAAACUUGAGACACCCAAUCAUUUAAUGGGCUUUAGUAGGUUUUGUCACCAGUCUUCUGUGUGUCACUGACUACAUUUUGAAAUUUUUAUCUGUUCUAUUUAAUUUUGUGUGUAUGUACACAAUGUUUAUGGUCAAUAAACUAUUUAUAAAACUAUUUAUCUGUGUGAGUAAGAUAAAAGCAGUUAUUAUUAUUAUUAUUAUUAUUAUUAUUAUUAUUAUUAUUAUUAUUAUUAUUAUUAUUAUUAUUAUUACACAUUUUCCUCCUUGUAUUUAAAUAUUAUUAUUAUUAUUAUUAUUAUUAUUAUUAUUAUCAUGAAUUGUUCUUGUUUAUAAAUAAAAUACUGUAACUGA